GCCAACAUGGCGUCAUCUUCGGGCAAAAUGGCACCAAUUUACCAUUUGGCCCCCACAUCAUCUCUCUGAGCCCCAUGGAGGAAUAGCGGAGCGUUUCCUCCUCCAUAGCGCGCAGCACCGCAAACGAAGCCUCGUCCAAAUGAUCAUCUGCGAAGGAGCUCUUAUGCUGGGAUCUUUCUGUCAGGCUUGGACAUGGAUUGAGUGUGCUCCUUCGACGCAGCGGGAUUACAGGACGAGCCAGGCGUGAAUUCAGGGUUACAUAUCUUACAUGUGCGGUGGUGACGGCAGGAAGGAGAACGGAGAGUUUCAACAUCUCCAACACUGUGGACCACCCUCUGAACAAUGACCCAACACCAGAGGGGAGCAGCAGCCAGCAGUCAUUCACCCGGCUCAUUGAUAGAGCGGGACAGAUGCUGCCCAAGCAGGUGCACAAUUCCCUGACAGGUGACAUCCGCUGCACUGAAAAUCGUAUGGCCAACAGACCAGGGUCACAUUGUUAGAUACUUAGUCUGACUCUAGGGGCGAAUGCUUUAACCUGCCUGACAAACCUUAUGGUGAGCUGGUCUGGAUUUGUUGCUCGAAAACAACAGGGAGCCCUUUUUGUAACUCGACACAUUGUCAGUGUAAAAACUUUGUCGGAGGGCAGCAAGUUCUCCCAAUGAUUGUGUGGGCCCACAGUCCAACAUGAUGGCCGAUUGGAGACUCAAAUAAGAAUAAUACUCCCUUGCUGAUUUUGUAACGACAGCUUUUUAAUCGUUGUUUCAGGUCGAUUAAAAGGUUGUAAAUGUGUUUAUUUGAGUUUAAUACAUAUUUG